rnacentral:rRNA from 1 species
CUACGGGAGGCUGCAGACGAGAAAACUUUGCAAUGUGCGAAAGCACGACAAGGUUAAUCCGAGUGGUUUGUGCUAAACGAACCUUUUGACAGUCCUAGAAACACUGUUGAAUAAGGGGUGGGCAAGUUCUGGUGUCAGCCGCCGCGGUAAAACCAGCACCUCAAGUGGUCAGGAUGAUUAUUGGGCCUAAAGCAUCCGUAGCCGGCUCUGUAAGUUUUCGGUUAAAUCUGUACACUCAACGUACAGGCUGCCGGGAAUACUGCAGAGCUAGGGAGUGGGAGAGGUAGACGGUACUCGGUAGGAAGGGGUAAAAUCCUUUGAUCUAUUGAUGACCACCUGUGGCGAAGGCGGUCUACCAGAACACGUCCGACGGUGAGGGAUGAAAGCUGGGGGAGCAAACCGGAUUAGAUACCCCUGUAGUC